AUUGAACGCUGGCGGCAGGCCUAACACAUGCAAGUCGAACGGUAACAGGAAACAGCUUGCUGUCUCGCUGUCGAGUGGCGGACGUGUGAGACAUGUCUGGGAAACUGCUUGAUGGAGGGGGAUAACUACUGGAAACGGUAGCUAAUACCGCAUAACGUCGCAAGCCCAAAGAGGGGGACCUUCGGGCGUUUUGCCAUCGAAUGUGCCCAGAUGGGAUUCCGCAGUAGGUGGGUUAACGGCUCACCUCGGCGAAGGGCCCUAGUUGGUCUGUGAGGAUGACCAGGCAAACUGGGACUGGGACACGGUCCCGGCUCCUACGGGGGGCAGGAGUGGGGAAUAUUGCACAAUGGGCGGAAGCCUGAUGCAGCCAUGCCGCGUGUAUGAAGAAGGCCUUCGGGUUGUAAAGUACUUGCAGCUGGGAGGAAGGGAAUAAAGUUAAUACCUUUACUCAUUGACGUUAACCGCAGAAGAAGCACCGGCUAACUCCGUG
rnacentral:rRNA from 1 species